GUGGAGGCAAUGAUGUUGCGAACUACCUAUUUUAUGAGGGAUUUUUCCCUUGUGAUUACAAAACCACCAAUGGAUCCUUCUGAGCCUUUA